rnacentral:tRNA from 1 species
UAUAUUUAAGUAUAGUUUGUACAUAAAUUUUUGAAAUUUAAAGAAUUAGAUAGAAUCUAGUAAAUAUAA